rnacentral:rRNA from 1 species
CCUUCGGGUGUGUAUAAAGUGGCAAACGGGUGAGUAACACGUGGGAACGUACCCCGAGGUUCGGGACAACAGUUGGAAACGACUGCUAAUACCGGAUAAGGACUAUGGUCGAAAGAUUCAUCGCCUUGGGAUCGGCCCGCGCCGGAUUAGCUAGUUGGUGGGGUAAAAGCCUACCAAGGCUACAAUCCGUAGCUGGUCUGAGAGGACGACCAGCCACACUGGGACUGAGAUACGGCCCAGACUCC